rnacentral:tRNA from 1 species
AUUAUUGUAGCUUACCCAUAUAAAGCACAGCACUGAAAAUGCUGAGACGGAUUUAUCCCAAAAACA